AAAAGCACUUACUUUUUUAUAACAUUAGUAAAACAAACUUACUUUUGCUCGCCCUGCUAAGAUCACUGAGACCUUGCUCAAGUACAUCCGAAUCCAUGAAAUCCUCAUUCAAUAUGGUGGACUCAAGAGGGAGAAUGACUUUGAGUUUUCAGUCUCUGACUGUAAAGCUUCAGAAAUUCUCCUUAAACCCGGAUCAACUGAAACCAUUGGCAUACCUGCAGUAGACGUGGAAAGUACAUUUAUCUGGGAUGUAACGAUUGUGGGCGGAGAGGUGAGCUAUAAGGAGGAUUUCGUGCCAGA